rnacentral:rRNA from 1 species
AUGCCGCCCAUCUCCCUCCUCCCCCUCCUCCUCCUCCUCCUCGCCGGCGCGGCGGCGGCGGCGGCGCCGGCGGAGCCCCCGACCCCGACCCCGACUCCCGCGCCGGGGAGGAACAAGACCAUCUACGAGCUCCUCCCGCUCUUCGGCCUUCCCCCGGGCGUCUUCCCGGCCAACGUCACCGCCUUCUCGCUCGCCGGCAACGGCAGCCUCGCCGUCGACCUCGCGGGCCCCUGCUACGUCCACUUCGAGUACCUCACCUACUUCGAGCCCCGCGUCACGGGCGUGCUCCGCUACGGCUCCCUCACCCAGCUGGAGGGCGUGCAGGUCCGCCGCUUCCUCGUCUGGUUCAGCGUCGUCCGCGUCAAGGUCGACCUGCCCCCGCCCCCGCGCUUCGUCUACCUCGACAUCGGCUGGAUCACCCGCAAGCUGCCCGCCGCCGACUUCCAGUCCGUCCACGCCUGCGAGGCCGGCAAGCGGAGGAGGCGGUGCCGCCUCUCCUCCGCGCUCGCCGCCGCCGCCGCUUGGUUCCAGGUCCGAUGCACUCCGCCCCUCUGCUCCGUUGAGCUGUUUGAUUGA